rnacentral:tRNA from 1 species
GGGGUGGUGGCGCAGUUGGCUAGGGCGUAGGUCUCAUAAUCCUGAGGUCGAGAGUUCGAGCCUCUCUCACCCCA